GGUCUUCAUUAAUGCACUGUGGGUGUUGUGCUCUUUAGAGGCCAAAGUUCACAGUUCUGUUUUAUAAUUGCAGUUCACUCUUUCCGACUUGGCCCAGAAGCAUCAGCUCUAUCACUGCUUGGGAGAUUUACAGCGCUUCCUCCAUCCUCGGGCCUGCUAAUAGGCAGUGGCUGAACUCCCCGGAGUCCCAGCUAGGAAAUCUGAGCAGUAUGUAAUUGCUACAGCUGGAAUCGCAUUCCACUUCAGAAGCUUCUCAACAGCAUUCUCAGACGUGUGGAUACCCAUUAGUGACCCAGGGGGAUUACUCCCUGGCACGGCAUGCACCUUUAUGAGGGGCCUGGAUGAUGAGAGUGUCCCUCCCAACAGCAGAAAGGGAGUCAAGGCCCAGGGAUUGGAGGUUGCUAGGACAGACAAUACUGAGGGAGUGACUCAGUGCCGCCUGCUGCAACUGUCCUCGGAGGGAAAGGCUUCCUGAUUUCACCAGGCCUCGUUUUCAGUCUCUCUGAUGGCUCGCUCCACACCACAAGUUUCUUUAGCUUCUGCUUUUGCAGCAAUGUUGGUUGCUGCUGCUCUCUCGAUGUUGUAGCAAUCAGCGAGGUGCCCCUUCAGUUGUCAGAUGACAAUAGAAGUAGAUCCAGUGAAUGUGUCUGUCUUAUAAGGAGGGGGUUGGGUUACAGUGAUGCUCUUGCAUACACCAGGCCAACUGUUGUAUUUGUACCCUGAGUGGAAAACAGUGCGUGUACAUAGUGGGAAGAUGAAUAGAAAGAUAGUUCUAGGGUCAAGUUUGUCAAACCAAUUGUAUUAGGUGAGUGAGAAAGGAUUCCAGAUCAGAAUCGCAGCUGUGUCUGGCUACAUAGUACAUCUUUCACAGCUCCUACUGGGAACUUUGUUUCUAUGAGCAAUGUGUUAUCAUGGCAAAGAUACGAUUUAACAAUAUAUGACUUUAAAUAACUGUUAAAAGAUGUAAAUGAAUCCACAGACAGUAAAGAAAUAGAGCAGCCGUAUAAUUAGAAUUAGAAAUGUAACAGGCUAAGAGUCUUGGGUCAUACAGCUCGUGAACAGACAGGUAUUCAGAUUUCAUCCACGAAAGCAUGUUUUACAGCCCUGGCUGCACAUUAGAAUCACUGAGGGAGCUUUUGAAAAAACCUGUUGCUGGAGUCCCACCUCCAGAAAUGGCAAUUUAAUGGGUCUGUGGUGAGCCUGAGUAUGGGUAUUUAUUAAAAGCUCCCCAGAUAAUUCUCACAGCAGCUAAGGUUAAGAAUCACCAUAGUCCAAUCUCAAUCUCUUGAGUAGCUUCUCAAAAUGGCUAAUAGAUGAUAAGAUUGGGCAUCUCUGUGAUGGGGGGAGUGUGGGGGGUCUAGAAAAUAUAGAGAAAAGAAAGAUAUUCCAAGUAUCACACACUCGUUAAACAAUGGGUAAGACACACUGAGUUCAGAGUAUGUGGAUGGGACAUACUCUGGCAUAUAUUGAUACUA
rnacentral:lncRNA from 1 species